rnacentral:rRNA from 1 species
GUGGGGAAUAUUGCACAAUGGGCGAAAGCCUGAUGCAGCGACGCCGCGUGGGGGAUGACGGCCUUCGGGUUGUAAACCUCUUUCAGCAAGGAAGAAGCGAAAGUGACGGUACUUGCAGAAGAAGCGCCGGCUAACUACGUGCCAGCAGCCGCGGUAAUACGUAGGGCGCAAGCGUUGUCCGGAAUUAUUGGGCGUAAAGGGCUUGUAGGUGGCUUGUCGCGUCUGCCGUGAAAACUCGAGGCUUAACCUUGGGCGUGCGGUGGGUACGGGCAGGCUAGAGUGCGGUAGGGGAGACUGGAAUUCCUGGUGUAGCGGUGAAAUGCGCAGAUAUCAGGAGGAACACCGAUGGCGAAGGCAGGUCUCUGGGCCGUUACUGACACUGAGAAGCGAAAGCAUGGGGAGCGAACAGGAUUAGAAACCCUAGUAGUCC